GAGGUUAUAGCUCAGUGGUAGAGUGUGUGCUUAGCAUGCACAAGGUCCUGGGUCAAUCCCCAGUAUCUCUG
rnacentral:tRNA from 1 species